rnacentral:rRNA from 1 species
AUCCGGAACUGUCACGCUAGAGUGCAGGAGAGGAAGGUAGAAUUCCCGGUGUAGCGGUGAAAUGCGUAGAGAUCGCGAGGAAUACCAGUGGCGAAGGCGGCCUUCUGGACUGACACUGACGCUGAGGUGCGAAAGCAUGGGUAGCAAACAGGAUUAGAUACCCUGGUAGUCCAUGCCGUAAACGAUGUCGACUAGCCGUUGGGGUCCUUGUGACCUUUGUGGCGCAGUUAACGCGAUAAGUCGACCGCCUGGGGAGUACGGCCGCAAGGUUAAAACUCAAAUGAAUUGACGGGGGCCCGCACAAGCGGUGGAGCAUGUGGUUUAAUUCGAUGCAACGCGAAGAACCUUACCUACUCUUGACAUCGUGCGAACUUUCCAGAGAUGCAUUGGUGCCUUCGGGAACGCACAGACAGGUGCUGCAUGGCCGUCGUCAGCUCGUGUUGUGAAAUGUUGGGUUAAGUCCCGUAACGAGCGCAACCCCUAUCCCUAUUUGCCAGCGAUUCGGUCGGGAACUCUAGGGAGACUGCCGGUGACAAACCGGAGGAAGGUGGGGAUGACGUCAGGUCAUCAUGGCCCUUACGAGUAGGGCUACACACGUGCUACAAUGGCCGGUACAAAGGGUUGCGAAGCCGCGAGGUGGUGCUAAUCCCGAAAAGCCGGUCUCAGUCCGGAUCGGAGUCUGCAACUCGACUCCGUGAAGUCGGAAUCGCUAGUAAUCGUGAAUCAGAAUGUCACGGUGAAUACGUUCCCGGGCCUUGUACACACCGCCCGUCACACCAUGGGAGUGGACUGCACCAGAAGUGGUUAGCUUAACCUUCGGGAGAGCGAUCA